rnacentral:rRNA from 1 species
GAAAUCUUCUUUGAAUGCCUGCUCAGCAUGAAGGUACCGUCUGGCUUCUCGUCAAAUAUAAAGAGAAUAAUAAAUAUGGAAGAGAAAAAGUUCCAGAACCUAAAGUCUCAUGACUGCGACAUGAUUAUAACGCAACUCCUUCCGGUUGCAUUGAGGGGGCUUCUACCGGAAAACGUUCAAUUGGCCAUUGUGAAGCUAUGUGCAUUCCUCAAUGCAAUCUCUCAGAAGAUAAUCGAUCCAGAAAUCAUACCAAGAUUACAGAAUGAUUUGGUGCAAUGUCUUGUCAGUUUCGAGUUGGUGUUCCCACCAUCCUUCUUCAACAUCAUGAUGCACGUCCUAGUUCACCUUUGCAAAGAGAUUAACGUUUUGGAUCCUGUAUUUCUACACAAUAUGUUCCCCUUUGAAAGGUUCAUGGGAGUCUUGAAGAAAUAUGUUCAUAACCAUGCUAGGCCGGAAGGAAGCAUCUCGAAGGGCCAUGAAAAUGAGGAGGUCAUUGUGUUUUGUAUUGACUUUAUUCCU